ACUGAUACAUAAACAUGACCUCAUUGAGAUCUUAUAGUGGAUGUUAGCGAUAGUUGGUUCACUAUAGAAGUAGGAUGCGCAUCUAGAUGGAAUCUAUCGAUCUUGAUAGAGAGAAGUAGUCUUAUAAAAUUUGAGAGGCUAAGUCCGAGAGUCUGUGGUCACAUCAAUGUGUUGAUAGAAAAAAAUUUUCAUGAGGAUCACAAUUAGACUUGAGCUAAUCGAAUAUAUGAUAUGAUCGAUGAUAAGGUUUGAUGAUUUAUCCAUGACCUGCCAUCUAGUCGAAACUCAC
rnacentral:lncRNA from 1 species